GAGACGCUGACAGUAAUAAAGGAAACUUUCUGAACAGCGAUAGAGAGAGAGAGUGCAAAAAUGGCUUAUGCACUCAUCGUUUCUCUAAAGCUGACUUUAGAUCCCCUUCUAGAUUCCGCUCAAUCCAUGGUUCAUAUUCAUAAACCAGAGCUUAAAUUGAUUUACGACGAUCUAUGCUAUAUAAAAUCCUUUUUCGAUGGAAUGAAUUCUCUGCGAGAUAGAAACAGCGCUGAGGAUCUGGAAAAAGAUAUCAGGCGUAUCCUGGAGUAUACUCAAGAUCUGAUUGAAGCUCAUCUAUCAAAUCUAGCUCAGUCUGAAUCUCAGAUCCCUGGAGAUGAGAUUUCGAUUUCAAGGUUUUCCAAAAAAUUGAUAGAAGUCAAAGAUAAGUUGAAGGCCAAGAAAUAUGAAGUUGCAGUGUUGAAGGCUAAGAAAGAUGAAAUUUUGAAGGCCAAGGAAGAACUGUUGAAGUCUCAGGAGGAAGAGGACCAGCAAUCGCCCCAUCAUUUUGGUAUUUCAUCAAAAAUUGGUUUUGAGAAGAAUAAAAAGACAGUGGGAUUGCAAGGUGAAGUAAGUAGGCUGUUGGAUUUGCUUUUGAGUGACAAUAGAAGGCGUACACUAAUCUCUAUUGGUGGGAUGGCUGGCAUUGGUAAGACUACUCUUGCCACAGAGGUAUAUCUCCAUCCAUUUGUGGAACAACAUUUCCAUAUGAGGAGAUUCAUAAACAUAGGUGCGAGAUAUCCGUUGGAAGAAUUACUGUCGGGUCUUCUUGGUCAACUAGAUUCCACGGAAAUGAAAGAACUGACGGUUGAUGAAUUAGGUUUGCAUCUGUACCAAUACUUAUUUGGUAGGAGGUAUCUGAUUGUAUUAGAUGACAUGUGGAAUCUCGAGGCUUGGGACGAAAUUCGACGUUUCUUUCCAAAUAAUGAAAAUGGCAGUCGAAUCAUUUGCACAAGUAGGCUGAAUGGCGUUUGUGAUGCUUUCUACGAUAGAAAGCUUCAAAAGCGUUUCCUGGAUGGGGAAGAAAGUUGGCAUUUACUUUGUAUGAUUGCGUUUCCUGACAUGCAGAUGUGCCCUUUAGAACUUGAGGAAAUUGGGAGGUCAAUCACCACUUACUCGGAUGGACUUCCCGCUGCAAUAGUUGAGAUUGGUAAAGUCCUAUCUAAUUCACCACCAACGCUGAAAAGUUGGACGGAAAUAACUCGAAAUAUGUCAAUGAUCCUGGCACCAAUGAUUUCAAAGCUUAUGAGUCCAUCUUAUGCUCAAUUGCCUCAGCAAUUGAAGGCAUGCUUUCUUUACUUGGGGCUAUUCCAACCCAACUAUAAUAUCCCCACUUCUCAGCUUCUUAGAUUAUGGGUGGCGGAGGGACUUAUCAGGCCUAUAGCAGGUAAAGGGUUAGAACUAACAGCCGAGGAGUAUCUGCACAACCUUGUUUCAAGAAAUCUUGUUGUGGUCCAUGAGCUGAGCUCCACUGGCAAAAUUAAAACAUGCAGAUGCCAUGAGCUCGUUCAGAAUUUUUGUGUAAAUGAAGCUCGACAGGAGAAAUUGUUCCAUAUUGUAAACAAGGGUUUUCCACAAGGCACAGAAAGCCUGCGGCGGCUGGGUGUCCACAGCAACGAUGUACUUGGCGACUUCAGAAAAGUGUAUAAAUCGAUGGAAUUGGCUUCAGUUGCACGUUCUCUUCUUUUUGUAGGCCCUCAGCACAAACAUCCAGUAAAGGUGUAUCUGGGGUUUCCAUGGCUGAGGGUACUAGAUGCACUUCCGCUCAUAUUCCACAGGUUCCCACACAAAGUUACAAAACUAGUUCGGUUGAGGUACCUUGCCAUCACAUGUGAUGGGCGGCUCCCAUCGUCCAUAUCCACACUCUUGAACCUUGAAGUUUUGAUUAUUAAUCAGACUAAGACCACCAAGCCCUCUCUGUUUAUGUUUCUGCCUUUAGAGAUCUGGAAGCUACAGAAACUAAGGCACCUUGAGUGUAUGGGAUUUGACCUACCAGAUCCUUCUGUGAGUUAUGAUAGCAAUUUUCGAUUCCUGUAUAAUCUUCUGACACUUUCAGGUGUGAGUACUCAUAGUUGUACGAAGACAAUCCUUUUAAGGAUGCCCAGACUGAUAAAGUUAGCGUUAUGGUCUCACCCAACACACAACCAUGCUGUUGAAAUUAACUUUUUCAAUGCUGUUUUUACAUACCUCCAUAAGCUUGAGUCAUUGAAAUGUGUUAUUACCAAUCCUGGUCUUGUAUCUAGAGCUCCAUCUUACCAUAUCAUACUCCCUUUUAGUCUUAGAAAGAUAACCUUGAGUGGAUGUAAAUUUAUGUGGGAGAAGCAUAUGUCCAUUUCUCAAUUACCGUUUCUUCAAGUGCUCAAAUUGCGAUGUGGUGCCUUUUGCGGCCCUAAGUGGGAAUUAUGCGAGGGGGGGUUUAUGCAUCUAAAAUUACUGCUGUUGGAAGACUUGGAUAUUGAACAUUUGAUCGCAGACUCUGACCACCUUCCAGUUUUGCAACGAUUGAUCAUUAGGAGUUGCUACAAACUGCAUGAGAUUCCCAUCGGUAUUGGAGAUAUUCCAUCACUUCAACUUAUAGAGGUGGAUGAUUGCAGCAUGUCUGUCAUUCAAUCAGCAAGAGACAUAAAGGUGGAACAAGAGGAGCUAGGAAAUGAACAACUAGAAGUCCGUAUCCGUCAUACUGGAAAUGAAACAUGUUGAUGUCCCUGUUAGGUACCAAAGUUACAGAGAGACCAAAAGAGUUCGUAAAUUUGGAAGUGCAGGAGUUGUCAUAGGGAUUCUGGUGAUUUUUGUCUCAGCCAGAGUUCUCAUCAAAUGAAUCAUUGACAUGGACUCGGCUCCCGUUGCCAAGUCCAUCAACGUGCAACCAUCCACAGCUCAUUGUGGUCCCCUUACAUCUUCACAAGCCCACCCAUCAAAGCCUAGAUGGCUAGAUGCCAAAUCAGCCGCAUAAGAAGAGAGAGAGAUUUGAUUAGCAUAUCAAUCUAAAGUAUUCCGUAUCUUCUAUUAUUUCAUCAAUUGUUCAUGUAAUCUUAUUUCAAAUUAUUUUCUCAUAU